AUUGAACGCUGGCGGCAGGCCUAACACAUGCAAGUCGAACGAAGUCUUCGGACUUAGUGGCGGACGGGUGAGUAACACGUGGGAACGUACCUUUUGGUUCGGAACAACUCAGGGAAACUUGAGCUAAUACCGGAUGAGCCCUUAGGGGGAAAGAUUUAUCGCCGAAAGAGCGGCCCGCGUUAGAUUAGCUAGUUGGUGAGGUAAAGGCUCACCAAGGCUACGAUCUAUAGCUGGUCUGAGAGGAUGAUCAGCCACACUGGGACUGAGACACGGCCCAGACUCAUACGGGAGGCAGCAGAGGGGAAUCUUGCGCAAUGGGCGAAAGCCUGACGCAGCCAUGCCGCGUGAAUGAUGAAGGUCUUAGGAUUGUAAAAUUCUUUUACCAGGGACGAUAAUGACGGUACCUGGAGAAAAAGCCCCGGCUAACUUCGUGCCAGCCGCCGCCGUAAAAC
rnacentral:rRNA from 1 species